UUGAGCUUCAACCAACACAAACAACCGCGAACCUUACCAGGUUUGAGCUCUUGACAAAAGGGGACAUGUUGAUAUGGCGACUAAAACAGACUACAUUGUUUGACUAAAGGGACCGCAAGCAACUUACGAUGAUCUUAUCAAGUGUGAUCAAUGAUACAGGAUAAUUUUAACCUUCAUAGUGUAAAGGUGAAAGAUGUCGCAGCUCUGGAGAGCAGUUGCCUAUGUUUUAAAGUUUGCAUUGGUGAUAUGUUCCACUGUGCUUAUCCUUGGUGGUGUCUUCUCAAUGGGCCUUAAUGAGAUUUAUGUCUGGUACAUGAUGCAUCCAAGGAGUUUCAUUGCUGCUGUUUUCACUUACAUCUCUAUAACUCUACUUUUCAUCAUCACACUCUAUAGUGCUUUUACAAGCUCUGGAGAGACAGUCAAGGAACACUUUCAACCACAGAGCCACUUACACGACUGUGACUUUGAUGAGCACACUGAACAUGAAAUUGCUACAUUAGCAAAGGCAGUGAAAAACAUUGAAGCAAAACUUGAAUCAAGUAGAGAAAAUGCAGAAAAUAUGUCAUUUUCAAGAAACGCUUUGCGUAUCAGUCAGCUUGGCAACCUUUUUGAACUGAAGGAGAAAAACUCUAUAACUACUGAGGAAUAUGAAAGAUUAAAGAAAUUAAUGAUUGAAGAUAUUGCAGAAAACCUAAAACUAGUGACAGAUAGCUUAGUUUAUAAGUCAAAAAGGGCCAUAAUAGAACAGCUGAAAUAGUGUAUAUUUAAUAAAAUAAUUAGUUUUUAACUGUUCUGCAGAGAACCUUUUCAGUUCUAAUGAUCACCUAGAUAUCAAACUGACAAGUACAUAACAGUGGAAUGGUUAUCAUUCUGCUUUGAACAUUCUGAUAAUAGUGUUAACGAUUCAAGUGAUUCUUUUAUAAAAUUUCUAUUGCAUCAAUUUAUUAACAAUGUCUCCAAAAAGUGAAAAAUUUUGACCCUUUCAUCCAGCAAAAUGAUGCCCAAGUUAUGUUAGCAACCUUGGCACCCUCUCAUGUUAAGGUGAAAAGUUGUCUAUUAUAAUAUCUUCCCAAUAUUCCCAUUGCCAUUCAAUAUUUAAUAAGGAUUUCUAUACCAAAAGUCAUUCAACCCAUUUUGUGCAGGCUGUAAUGCCUGCUAAAUUCAUGGUAAAUAUGUCGAUUUCUUAAUAUUAGAUAAUUGUUUAACAAAAGAUAACUUUGCCCUCUGUAUAUUUGAAGGAAGCCAGCUAAUGUCAUUUAAAAAAGUAAUCUAAACAGGGUAUUUUGUAGAUUUUUAUAGCAUGAUGAUUUCAAGUAAAUAAAUAUCAACAAAGUUUGUGUUUUUCCUCUCAUUUGGCUUUUUGCCUUUUGAAGAUUUGAACCAAAUGCUUCAACUUACAUCCAUUCAAGAUUGCAACAACAAAAUUGAGGAAAACAAAAAGCAUCAAACGCACUAAAUGCCUAAAUCAGCAUUUUGCAAACAUUUGCCUAACUUUAUAACUAUAUAAAUAAAGUAUAUAUAACUAACUGCUUGCGAACUCUUAUAAUUGAAUAGAAGGCACUCAAUGUUUUGAAAUCAAGAGCAACAACUCUGGUACUUUAAAGCCCAUGUUUCAUCAGAUUUGAAAUUUGUUGUCUGGAGAUAAUAGGUUUUAAAAUAUUUUGAGAUAUUGCAGUCAGAGACCCUUAAUAUGUUUUUGGAAUAUUUUAUUAUGUGUGUUUUAUUGCAUAUAUUGCAGGGCCCCUUUCAACAUACUAACUAGGAGGGGGGCUAUUGCCCCUCCAGCCCCAGUUGAUUUUCCAUUGUUUUAAACAUUAGGUUAUUGUCCUCCCAUUUAUAUAAACAAAGGCUUGCCACUGCAACUAUUUUCCUUCAAACAGGCUAUGAUGCAUUGAACCAUAAUUUGAUACAAUAAAUCAAUGAUUUCAUAAGUCUCAUAAUUAUGGGAACGUGCCUUUUCGGAAGCAGCUAUCAAAAGGUAAAAGCAUAUGUGAUGUGAUCUGUUUUUAAGGGUAAACUUCUGCACUAAACUCCCAAUAGUUCAACUUAAAACUUUUUUCAGCAUUAGGUGUUAUAAAACCGAAUGCUACUUAUGUUUUGAAAUCUGCACAUUUAUGAAUCCAAAAAGCACGAGCUAUGAAAUAUUGAUGUCUGUCUUAUCCCCCGCAGAAGGGGGGCGUUAAUAACAUGCAAAACAAGAUGUUGAAAGAUCAUUCUCGAUCCAGACCCCAAAACGCGUAUUCAAGUGUAAAUUGUAUGGACGAAAACAUGGCGUAGUAACGGUGUUUUGUUGCUUGAAAUGGUGUCUAGAAAUCGUAAGUUUGUCAAAGAAAAGUAGUAGGUUUUAAGUGAUGGUCUACAAAUUUAGUUAUUAGCGAAUUAUAUAUACUAUUGACAAAUGGG